AUACGGAGGGUGCAAGCGUUACUCGGAAUCACUGGGCGUAAAGCGUACGUAGGCGGUUAGUUAAGUUAGAUGUGAAAGCCCCGGGCUUAACCUGGGAACUGCAUUUAAAACUGGCUAACUAGAGUUAAGUAGAGGGGAGUGGAAUUUCAGGUGUAGCGGUGAAAUGCGUAGAGAUCUGAAGGAACACCAGUGGCGAAGGCGACUCCCUGGACUUGAACUGACGCUGAGGUACGAAAGCGUGGGUAGCAAACAGGAUUAGAAACCCUAGUAGUCC
rnacentral:rRNA from 1 species